CCCUUAGAUGUUCUGGGCCGCACGCGUGCUACACUGAGUAAUUCAAUGGGUAAGGGAACGCUAGAGCAUUACCUAAUCUUGAAAUUUGCUCGUGAUGGGGAUCGACGGUUGCAAUUUUCCGUCGUGAACGAGGAAUACCUUGUAGGCGCAUGUCAUCAUCAUGCGCCGAAUACGUCCCUGCCCUUUGUACACACCGCCCGUCGCUCCUACCGAUUGAGUGAUCCGGUGAGGCUCUGGGACCUGGUCGGAAAGAGCGUUUCGCUUGUUCUGUUUGGGAAACUUGGUCGAACCUUAUCAUUUAGAGGAAGGAGAAGUCGUAACA
rnacentral:rRNA from 1 species